CUGAUGCUGGAAGAAACCAGGAACACAAUCACUGUCCCGGCCUCGUUCAUGCUCCGAAUGUUGGCGUCCCUCAAUCACAUCAGAUCAGAUCGGCUGGAGGGCGAUCGAUCUGAAGGAUCCGGUCAGGAAAACGAGGAGGAGCAGUAGCCAAGCUGGGGUUUUAUUUUCAUGAAAAAAAAGAAAGAAAAAAAAA